rnacentral:rRNA from 1 species
AGAGUUUGAUCCUGGCUCAGGACGAACGCUGGCGGCGUGCCUAAUACAUGCAAGUAGAACGCUGAGGUUUGGUGUUUACACUAGACUGAUGAGUUGCGAACGGGUGAGUAACGCGUAGGUAACCUGCCUCAUAGCGGGGGAUAACUAUUGGAAACGAUAGCUAAUACCGCAUAAGAGUAAUUAACACAUGUUAGUUAUUUAAAAGGAGCAAUUGCUUCACUGUGAGAUGGACCUGCGUUGUAUUAGCUAGUUGGUGAGGUAAAGGCUCACCAAGGCGACGAUACAUAGCCGACCUGAGAGGGUGAUCGGCCACACUGGGACUGAGACAAGGCCCAGACUCCUACGGGAGGCAGCAGUAGGGAAUCUUCGGCAAUGGACGGAAGUCUGACCGAGCAACGCCGCGUGAGUGAAGAAGGUUUUCGGAUCGUAAAGCUCUGUUGUUAGAGAAGAACGUUGGUAGGAGUGGAAAAUCUACCAAGUGACGGUAACUAACCAGAAAGGGACGGCUAACUACGUGCCAGCAGCCGCGGUAAUACGUAGGUCCCGAGCGUUGUCCGGAUUUAUUGGGCGUAAAGCGAGCGCAGGCGGUUCUUUAAGUCUGAAGUUAAAGGCAGUGGCUUAACCAUUGUACGCUUUGGAAACUGGAGGACUUGAGUGCAGAAGGGGAGAGUGGAAUUCCAUGUGUAGCGGUGAAAUGCGUAGAUAUAUGGAGGAACACCGGUGGCGAAAGCGGCUCUCUGGUCUGUAACUGACGCUGAGGCUCGAAAGCGUGGGGAGCAAACAGGAUUAGAUACCCUGGUAGUCCACGCCGUAAACGAUGAGUGCUAGGUGUUAGGCCCUUUCCG